UCAAGAGACAAAUGACGUAUUCAAAUCUGUAUUUUAAAAGGGGUAUAUCCCGGCUGCUGUGUGGAGAAUGGAGAAGAGGAGGCAGGGUAACCACGGCCAUGACAUCUUCCGCCUGGUUCAGGAUACAGACAAUGAACACAAAAGUGAAUGCAUUCAAGAGGAAAAUUCAAGAUAUCAUCAGAUGAAGGAAAACUAAGAAAAUGUGUUGCUAAAGAACACAGUAAGCAAAAUUACAGUGAUCAUGGAAAUAUGGAUCCACCUGAUGCAGCUACCCCCUCCCAACUUCAACUCAGGUCAAGAUCUCGCAGUCCGUGAGUUCGAGCCCCG